rnacentral:lncRNA from 1 species
CUCUCGAAAGGUCUCGGACCCAUCUGCAGGCCUGGACCAUCCAGAUGGGAUGGCCCAGGAAACUGCCUCAGAUCGUCUUCAAUAUUAUUAUGUCUACCAGGAUAUGCUGGAAGUGGCUUGAGAUGUUCCCCUGAAGUGUUGAAACCCUCGUCAGGGAAAGCCCUUCCACUUACAAGUGAACCACUACCAGAGCCAUUGCUCCUCGAUGUUCCUGUGUGAAUGGAAGUUAGGUCAGCAUGCCCACAACAAAAAGGAUUGAAGUAUUUGCCUCUGAAUCAGAGUAUUACCAAGAGGAUGUGGCCAACUCAAAUGUUCGGGGACAAAAGGAGGGAACAUUUUGUCCUGAUCAGGUAAUGGGCCAACCAUGGGUGGUCGAAUCAUACCAUCACAAUCACCCGGUCUGAUACCCCCAGGCUGCGACAUUGGCAUCUGAAUUUGAUUCUCUCCAAACAACCUUGAUGUCGAUCCAGAAUGGAAUGAACCAUACGAUUUCUGCAUUGGAGGCUGAAUAUUUUCAGAGAAACCAUGCUUAGGACCAGGAUGCAUCAGAUGCUGAGGAAGCAUUCUCUCCGGUCCAGCUGGAUGUUUUGAUCCCAUGCCUGGGGGCACAAAGGAGCCUGGUGCCCCUGCAUUUUUCUGUGAUGCCUUCUGUAAUGAUCCACCUUUCUCACAAUUAUCCGAAGCCUUGUGCUCUUUUCCUCCCUGUACUGGACCAUUUGAAUUGCCUGCCCAGGCAGCAAUUCCAUCCCUUCCAAUUGAACCAUCUGUGAUGUGUGAUGCAACGCCAGUUUGCACUGCAUCUUUUCUAACACCACCAAAAUCAUUAUGUUCUCUGUUUAUGUUUUCAUCGCCCAAACCCUUCAACAUUGUAGGUCUCAUUACAGCAGAUUCAGGACCAUUAUUUUUACUUUCGCUAACAGCAGUACUAUCAGCAGCAUUACUUGCAGUUUCUGACUUUCCUGGUUGCGAAGCAUGUGUUCCCAGAGCUACAGAACCCUGCCCCAUAGGUUGCCCAGCAGCAGGCAACUGGGAUGCUAAUACCACAUUAUCAGAUCUAAGCAUUGUUGGCUGUUGUUUUAUGGCAUCUUGAAAACUGUUAACUGGGCCACCAGGUUGAUGUAGAAAUUGCUGUGGCGGCGCAAGAUGACUCGUAGGUCUGCCAGCUGAAGUUUGAACAUGAUGCCCAGCAUAGCCAUAGCCAGGAACAUGCUGCUGCAUAUAUGGCUGACCAUGAGGUUGUGAAGGUUGGGAAUGCAAGUGUUGUUGUGAUGAGGGUAUUCCUUGCUGGUAUGGCUGACCUUGUGAGGAAACAUAUGAGUGAGGAGGCAAUCCUUGCAGUGAUGUCUGGGAAGGGAUGACAGAAUGCAUUUGUGGCCGCUGAGUGGGGUACCCAAUAUGUUGUUGAUGUUGUGUUGUAUGCUGAAUUCCUUGUGGAGUCUGCAUAGCUGGCUGUUGGCCUGGCAAUGGAGGGCGCAUUGAUGCAGGAUGCUGAGAAACAGGGUGUUGCAAUGAAGCGCUGUGUGGCAUCUGCUGCUGUGAUUGCGGCGCAUAGGCCUGUGGCUGUGGGUAAGAUUGCUGCUGCACUUGUGGAGAUUGGAGCUUGACUUGAGAGUUUAGCUGCAUCUGAGGUUGAAGAUUUUGCUGUGGAGGUAAGGCUUGCAUAUGUGCAUGUUGUUGCUGGGCAACGGUCUGUUGCUGUUGUGGAGGUUGAGCUUGUACUUGUGCAGGUUGUAAUGUGGGGCCAGACAGUUGAAGAGGUACUUGACUUUGUGGUUGCAGCUGGGGAACUUGUGGGGCUGAUUGAAUUGGCUGCUGAGGCUGAGACUGACCUGAAGGUGCUUGAAGAUGGGGAAGGUGGGGCUGACUUUGGGGUUGGGGUUGGGGUUGGGGUUGCACUGGAUGCUGCUGAGGCUGUGCAUAACCUGUUGGUGGUGGAAGCCGGGGCUGACUUUGGGGUUGCGUCAUGAGUUGGGGCUGAGAGGACUGCACCUGAGGCUGAACAUAUGAGGUAGGCUGUGCAGAACCUUGUGUCAUAUUUUGGGACGCCACUUGCAUUUGAGGUUGCGUGUACUGCUGAUGCACCUGCUGGUAUUGGCCAUACUGUUGAUAUUGCUGCAUGUAAGGGUUGUACCCAGGGUACUGCUGCUGGUAGUACUGUGAGCAUUGGAGUUGCUGCUGGUACCACUGCUCAGCUGUUGGAGUUUGAGAAGAAGCAGCUGAUGCAGCUGCUAAGGAAGGGGGUGCUGUUGCUGUGCUUGCACCAGUUGCCCCUCCUGUUGCUGCAGCAGAAGCUGUGACAGCUGUGGCUGUAGCUGCAGAUGGCAAUGUCAUAGCUGGAGCUGCAGCAGAGCCUGCUGGGGCAAGUGAUGGAUCUUGGGUGAUUGCUUGAGUUGUUGCAGCCGAUGGCUGUGCUUGACUACCAUCAGCUUGAUGUGUUUGAGAUUGUGAGCCCUGCAAAUAACAAACAGGUAAAAAGAUUAUCAGUAACAACACAUUUCUAGACAUAACUAGGAGAUUCUGAGGACAUGAUGGACAUACAGGGCAGAGUUGAGCAUGUUCUUGCACUUGACGAUGUACAAUCUGUGUCCCACAACGAUUACAAACAACAGGGGAGUUCCCAUAUGCACAAGCAGUACUGUGUGUGAUACACGCAGAUAGCGUUCCUUGCCAUUGGCAACCACUCUUAUUAUACAGGCAAUGGACUGUGACCUUGCCAAUUGUCUCAGCAAGGGAUUUAUUUGAUUCUGUCAGAGGCUGCAUAUUGCAAAUUAGGUUGUAAGAGGAGUGCCACAACUUGAUAUGUUUUAACUCAUUGAAUAUGCAUACCUUGGAAUCAGUUUCUGUCACCAAGUAGCCAUCAUAAGGGCAAGCUUUUGUGGUUGCCGCUACAUAAGCUAAGCAGGGUUUGCAGUAGAGAUGUGUGCACUGAGUUUGCAAAGCUUCAUUGGGAUAUAUGAGUGUACGACAAACAGGGCAGAAAUAUUCACCAGGAAGGGAUUGAAUACUCAUAAUGCAUUCAUUAUCGAAACCCAUUGCUGAAACUUGCUAACUUCUGCCAGAUCAAAUGUCAAAUCUGCACAAAUAAUCACAUACACUUACGCAUUGAAUGUGUGCAAUGCUGCUAUAGGGGAUUGAUGCAUAGAACAUGUGCCUCUACCAUUCAGAGUUAAAGAAAUCAAGUGUGAUAAACACUUGAUAUGCACAACACAAGAACAUAGUGUCAUCUAAUAAAGGCACAGCAUCCAUGCCUAGUGCCUAUUUGUCACCUAGCCCGCUUAGCGGCUAUUAGGUGCUAGAGGCCACCUCAUCCCCGUCUAAUACUUUUGGAAUGUACAAAAGAAUAUUCGUGUCAAAUGCAGAACUUACUAGCAUUUAGACCAAAUAAUAUAUUAUGAAAGCUGAUAUGGCUAAGUCAACUAUUACCAAUAAGAACUAAGGAAAAGCAUUAAGUUAACAAAACUAGAAAACUGUGUCACAGAAAGUAGGGUAACAAUAGUAACCCAUUUCAUUAUAGAACUAAAGAGUGCCUUGCUCACUAUUCUAACAGGAAAAGUUAUGGCAGGUCAUCAAGGUAGCGAAGCUAAAGAGCACCAGCUAGGUAGCUACGGUACUAAACUGAGCAGAAACCGCAUACAAACUGAAACAAAAGUAGUAGCAUACAUAAUUAAAUCUGAAAUCGGUAAAGCUGUUGAGAAGGUAAUCCAGGUAGGGAAACUACCAAACAGUAAUGACAUAAUGAUUAAAGCUAGUAAUAACAUGAAAUCGCCAGCAUAAAUAAAGUUGAAACUGUCUAGUCUGAAAUGGACAGUAAUGGCCACAUAAUUGAUCAAGGCAUGCAUUAAUAAGGUGCACAGAAACCAAAUACAAGUAGAACAAAAGAACUAGUACUGCCAAACUGCAUUAUUGAAGCUGAAAUGGACACGUUAACGGCCACGAAUGGAAAUAUUUUCAUGUAAUAAAUAAUACCAUGCAACAAGAAUGCCACAUCGAUAUAGCUACAUAGCAAACAAAUACCUAAAAGCAGCUACCUCCAUGUGAGACACAAGAUAAACAAGCAAGAGAAUCGAGUGAUAGCAGAUAUCAACAUUGAUCUAGACUUCAAGAAUGAUUAUCAAAUAUGAGCAUGAAUAUACCAGUAGCAACUUGUAAAACCAUCAGACACAAACAGACGUGAAAAACAAUCAAGCAAUGCACUGCAGAUUAUGAUUUAGACAUCAUCUACAAGUGGAAUGGAAUAUAUAUUGCCAGAAUUACAGAUUGCAACAUUACUAAAAGACCCAGCCAUCCCAACGUGCCACUUCCAGUCAUUGACAAGUGGAAUGGAAUAUAUAUCAACGUGCAGUACCACAAGCCAAACCAAAAGUAGUAAUGUACAUAAUUAAAGCUGAAAUCAGGCCUAGCAUGGAAGGUAAUCCAGGUACGGAAAGUAACCAACAGCAUUACUAAGCUGCACAGAAACCAAAUACAAGGGGAACAAAAGAACGUAUACUAACAAACUGCAUUGUCGAAGCUGAAAUGGACAUGCUAAUGGUCGCAAAUGGAAAAAAUUUCAUGCAAUAAAUAAUACCAUGAAACAAUAACGCCACAUCAAUAUAGGUACAUAAUAAAGACAUACCUACAAUCAGUGACCACCCCCACCCACACGUGAGACACAAGAUAAACAGCCAAGAGAAUUGACUGAUAGUAUGAUAUCAACACUAAUCUGGACUUCAAGAAUGGUUGUCAAGUAUGGGCACGAAUCAUACCAGCAGCAAAUUAUAAAAUCAUGAGCCAUAAAACAGACAUGAAAAAACAAUCCAGCAAGCCACUGCAUAAUAUAUUAUGGAAGUAUGAUUUAGGCAUCACCAACAUGUCUCGCCAGAAUGAUCAAUCACUAAAAGGCCCAGCCAUCCCAACAAUGCACUUCCAUGACACAAGCUGGUGCAGUCUCAAGAUAAUUCUAACAAGCUACCCGCUUGCCCUUUCAGAACCAGUGCAAUCUAUUCACACGCACAAGAAAAAGGCUGCUCAUAAAGCACCUAAAUACCACACAAAGGAACGAACAAAAACUAAUCAGCUGCAAUCCUCCAUAAGAGAUCUAAGCAGGCAACACACCUCCCUCCACACAAGAACAUGGAACAGAGAGGCUCCAGGCUCCAAUCUAGGGAUAAACAACAAAAAGAAGGAUGCCAAAUCGCAACAAUGAAUGUUGCUUGGCUGCCAUGUACUCCACGAACCAACUUAUCACGAAACACUGAAUCCCCGAUCACACCACCGCCAUCAAGUGUAUACCAGAGAAAUGCGGAGCAAGGGAUAUGUACAUCUUCGUUCGUAACUCGCCAGCUCCAAAACCGCACCGGCAACGGUGGUGGAGGAAAACCCCAACCCUAGACCGGAGGCAACUCAAGCGGCCCGAACCUCCGUUGGGCGCGGAGGAAGGAUGGGGGUAGACCUCACCUAGGAGUCCACUGCGGCGGGCUGGAUCGCCGGGGGCACGAGGACGACGAAGCGAAGCAGGGUGGGGCCUGGAGGGCGGCGACUGGAAAGGUUUUGUCCUCGCUGUGCGUGCGACUGCGAACGACACCGAGGUCCGAGGAGACCAAGAUGCGGCAGGAUCUUGCAGAUUGGGCCCUAUAGAUUCUUACAGAUGGGCCGUAGGGAACUUCCAGACUGAAGCUAUAUAGCAAUACGGCCCUUCCUAAAGUUAUCUAGCAAUACGGCCCGUUCAGAGAACGAAGAAUUACGACUGUGACAUCAUUUCAACUAUGUGCCGUUUCAACAUUUUUCCAUUGCGUUUCGAAUUUCAGAGUUGGAAAAAUCAAAUCCGAAGAAAACACAAAUAUAACCACAUGGCUAACGCGAACUGAGCAUACCUACACAUCCAGUUCUCAACUCAGCACGGAUUCUCGUAUUUUUCUCAAUUUAUUACAGAAUUUAAUCAGUAUUGUUAGACCACGUGUCCAUCAAUAGCAAUACACCAGUAGUACCUUUGUCAAUUUUGAGAAUUCGCUUGUUCGAUCUUUUAAAGGUGCUUGGAUGGUAGAGUUGCAGUGUGUAUUUAUAUGAACGAGUGUGGAUGCGUGAACAUCGCGUCCUGUACCGUGUGAUUUGGAAAAAAAAUAACCACAUGGCUAACUACAGGCCAAGUUGGCAAGUUCACUAGUUCAGGAUGUCAGCUAGAAAGUCAAAGCGGCAAAGCCCAUCAUCCAAGAUUCCAAGCUUGUCCUCCAAGGCGAAACCAAGACGCACCCGUGGAGCAACGCGCGCCACGACGCAGACACCGCCUCGUCCACACAUCAGUCUCUUCUCGCCGCUUCUUAAAACCAACACACGCCCAGCACGGUGCCAAGGCAAAGCGCCGCUCAUCACACGCACAUCCAAAGAGCCCGACCGCUCAAAGACCAUCCUCUGAACCUGCACUGCACCGUGCCUAGCUAGCUCCAGCUCGCCUCCCGCCGACGAUCCGCCAUGGGGAUGGUGCUGGGCAAGAUCACGGUGGAGACGCCCAAGCACGAGGUCCUCCACACCGGCGCCGGCUACGAGAUCCGCAGGUACCCGCCCUGCGUCGCCGCGGAGUUCACCUACGACCCCAAGGAGUGGAAGGGCGACCCCGACGGCGGGUUCACCGUCCUCGCCAACUACAUCGGCGCCCUCGGCAAGCCGCAGAACACCAAGCCCGAGAAGAUCACCAUGACGGCUCCCGUCAUCACCUCCGGCGCCGGCGACGGCGAGGCGUCCUCCGAGAAGAUCGCCAUGACGGCGCCGGUCAUCACCACCGGCGGCGAGCCGGAGCCGGUCGCGAUGACCGCGCCCGUGAUCACGGACGACCAGCAGGCGCCGGGCAAGGUGACAAUGCAGUUCCUGCUGCCGUCCAAGUACGCCAAGGCGGAGGAUGCGCCGCGGCCGACGGACGAGCGGGUGGUGAUCCGCGAGGUGCCGGAGAGGAAGUACGGGGUGGCGAGGUUCAGCGGGGUGGCUGCGGAGAAGACGGUGCGGGAGAAGGCGGAGGGGCUCAGGGCCGCGCUGGAGAAGGAUGGGUACACCGUCAAGGGCCCCUUCGUGCUGGCGCGGUACAACCCGCCCUUCACGCUCCCACCGCUGCGCACCAACGAGGUCAUGAUCCCCGUCGAGUGACCACCCGCACUCGGCCACCGCCCAGCUGCCGGGCCGCGGCUGUUCAGUGAUUUGAGUGUUGGACGUUUCAGGGACUCUGUUUCGUAUCUGUAUUUCCUUCGAACCUGUUGUCUUACUAGUCUUUUCUUGUGUAAUUAUUGUAAAAAUAUGCUUAGUGUGACAAAUAAUGGAUAAGUUUCUACUACUCUCGGUCGAUACUUAGUUACUUACAUACCGGCACGGUGGUGCUGCGGCCCUACAGUAGCUCUGCAUUUCAGAAAGAGUUUUUUCAGUACAAACACAAGAACGAUUUAACUUGGUUUGUUCAGUCGGCAAGGCAUAAACACGACCUUAAAUUGAUUUCAAAUGGAGGUUUAUUGAACAACAGGAGUGUUUCAAAAAAUUAUUUUGAAAAGUUUGCACAGUAGUUGACUGUGUUGGUUUUUAUAUGGCUUUCAACAUUAUUCAUAUAAUGUGGUUAUUAUUUAACUCAAUGUGGAAUUAUUCGGAUACAUGUGAUUCAUAUAGUGUGGUUAUUAUUUAACUCAAUGUGAAAUUAUUCGGAUACAUGUGAUAAGGAAUAAUUGAUGCGGAAUUUAACUCGAGGAGAGGAUGUUUGUGCUAGAAUAGAGAAGAGGAAUUAAUCGAGAUCAACUCUACUGGAAUAUUUCUUAUGUACAUACAUGUUUGACUUUGGUACAGUACGACGAAAAAAGCUGGGUUUGUUUUGCAGGAUCGGUUUUGUAGGCUGUUAAACCGACAUGAUCCUAUUGACAUGUGUACUAGCGACUUAUAUAUUUUAGACUCAUCAAACCGACAUGUCUGAUCGUGGUUGGUCACAUCUUUCAGGAGUCACACGGAUUUUUCGGAACACGGGUGAAAUAUUUAUAAUGCCUGGAAGCGGAGCUGGAUCCCUACUCUCUAACUCUGCAUUGUGAGCGGCACAGGUAGGGAAAUAGAGGUAGAGCGUAUAGAUCCACGGAACCAUACAAAUUGUGCCCUGCUUGGAAACUGGGGGAGCGGGGGACAGGGAGCUGCUCUUUUCCUUCGGUCCCCAAUUUUUUAGCUACGGAGUACGGACCGUACUGAAUUCGGCCCAGCCUAGUUGGCCUGACUUUUCAUGUUCUAUGUGGGCUUUAUCUAGCCCAGCCCGAAAAUGCUCGGAUGUCGUCCCCCCAUGCAUUUCUCCCGUUACGGGCGCGACCCGACAUCCUUAACGGUUGCUAAAACCCUUAUCGGAUCACACUGACACUGGAUAGAGUCGAGUCGAACGCUCGUCGCCGUCCCCCUUCCUUCCUCACCUCGACCAAAUAGGAGCGGCAAUGGCCAUGGCCACCCCCGCCUUCCUCCUACCAGCGCUGUUCCCCAAGCCCAAUUUCCUCGCCGCACCUCUCCAUCCAAGUCUCCCACGAGGCCGCCAACUCCGCUGCUCGCCCAACGGCGCCGCCGUGCCGGAAUCCCCUAAACCCGCUUCUCGCCGCGGCCGCAAGAAGUCCCCGUCCCCGUCCCCGUCCCCGUCGGCGCCGAAGGCGAAGGCCACGAGGCGGAGAACCAAGAAGGAGGGCCAGGAGUCAGACUCGGAGGGCCAAGAGGAGCCGGCGAAGCGGACCAGCCGCCGGACAAGGAAGUCCAAGGAAGAGACCAAGCAGGAGGAGAUUGUGGCGCAGAUGGCGAGCGACGGAACUGAGGAGACGAGUCAAGAGUCCGAGGAGGAGGAUGGGUUGGAGGUGGGGGGCGACUACGACGACGCGGAGGAUUUCGCGAACGAUUGGCCUCCGCUGGUGUGCUGCUUCGGCGCGCCGCGUUGGGAGUUCGUGCCCACGGUGCGGGUGUCGGACCGGCAGAUGCACCCCGAUCAGUACUCCACGUGGCUGCACCUGCAAUGGGAGCCGCCGGAGUUCGCGCGCGCGCCGGGUAGCGCGGCGAGCAACGUGGCCAUCGCGCACACCCGGCUCGGAGGGCGCGCCGCGGUGCUGGGCAAGGUCGGGGACGACGACUUCGGCCGCGAGCUUGUGUACCGUAUGAACUGCGAGCGGGUACAGACACGCGCCAUCAAGUUCGACGGCAAAGCAGCCACGGCCAUGGCGCGCAUGAAGGUGAGCUUCCGGGACCGGGAGGAUGGCAAGGGCGGCACCAAGCUUGUGGCCGAGACGGUGAAGAGCGCUGCCGAGGACUCCCUCCGCAAGAACGAGAUCAAUGUCGAUGUGUUGAAAGAGGUGAGUUGGUGAUACUUUGGAGGAACAUUAUGCUCGCGUCGUCAUUUUGCAGCAAGCUAUGUCUGAGUGUCUCUAUGCGGAUGACCACCAGUCCACCAAGGUGCACUGUUUGCAUAGCAAUUGCAUCAAAGCAAUUCUUAGUUUUCAAACAAAAUUAAUGUGAUCUAGCAGCAUGACAUGAUUGUAACCUCUUUUUGUGUGUGUCAUUGAAGGUCUAUUCUUGAAACAAGAUUCAACCUUGAUGCUAAACUCUCUACUCAACUUGUUUAAGUAUUCAGACAGAUGCCAUUUGAUCUUGUAGUUCAGAUUAUGAGAUGAAUUGGCACCUGAUCCCUCUUUAUAUAAUCUAAGAUAGCAACGGAUUAUGAAUUGAUAAAAGUUUCAGUAUGUGCUGCAUAUUUACGUUGUUGCUUACAAGAUGAGUUUUCGAUGUUGUCAUUGCUAUUACAUAGUCAACAUUUUUUUAAUUCAAAUCUAAUCCUUAGUAAUUACACAGGCCAGAAUGUUCCAUUUCAGUUCAGAAGUUCUGUUAAAUCCCUCAAUGCAUGAUACACUCUUCAGAGCCAUUGAAAUGUCCAAGAAAUUUGGAAGUAAAGUAUUCUUCGAUCUGAAUUUGCCAUUGCCAUUGUGGACAUCAAGGGAUGAGACAAAGGAGGUGAUAAAUAGGGCAUGGAAAGAGGCUGAUAUAAUAGAGCUGUCAAGGGACGAGCUUGAAUUCCUCCUUGAUCAUGAGUAUUAUGAAUACAAGAGAAGGACUCCACCUCAGUAUUAUCUGGAAGGAUUCCAUUUUACAAGAAACUGGCCACAGUACUACCACUACAGCCCUGAAGAGAUCGCUCCUAUUUGGCAUGAUGGAAUAAAGGUCCUGCUUGUGACCUACGGGACACUUCGGAUCCACUACUACACGCCCAAGUUUCAUGGCUGUGUGGUUGGGACAGAGGAUGCACUCAUAACUCCAUACACCACUGACCGAACAGGUUCUGGGGAUGCUGUUGUUGCUGCUGCUAUUAGGAAGUUGACAACUUGUCCUGAGAUGUACGAGGACCAGGAUACAUUGGAGAGGCAACUGAGAUUUGCUGUUGCUGCUGGAAUCAUAUCACAGUGGACAAUUGGUGCUGUGCGAGGGUUUCCCACUGAGAGUGCCGCCCAGAACUUGAAGGAACAAGUCUAUGUGCCUUCUAUGUGGUGAAAUGGUAAAUCAUUUGCCAAGACAUGAACAACAUAUUAAAUACAAGCAUACUUCAAGAAUGGUCUAACAGAAUUGAACAAGGGAUUUUUUUUUUCUUUUACCACAAGAGAGCUACAGGCGCAAUUUAUAUGCACGGAUUGCUCAGGUAUCCUCGUACCAUCCCCAUUCUGUAAUCAUUUCAAUGUUAGGGGCAGUAUGCAUGUCAUUAAAUGCAUUAGAAAGUUUGACUGCUACUGAAAUGCCUCUAUUGACUGACAAAUGUUAUAUAGCUGAAUCUUCAAUUUAGCUUGUGAACUGAAUUUGCAAUCAGACUCUAUUUGAUGUGCUACUGUAAAAUAUGCUGCUUUACAUUUUAAUUUUGGUCAUGAUUUCUAAACCAUAGUAAGGACCCUGUGUUGAAUGAGCACGCAGUUCUGGGGAGAUUUUAGUGACUAUAUUUCUUUUUUCUCGACCACAAGGAGAGUCUUCUCCCAGACAUUUUUUUUUAGUUUAAGUAAUAGGAUACUGAACCCUGGCUGGCUAGGAAACUUGCUGAAACCAGUUUCUCAGGGAGCUACCCGCAAAUUGGUGAGCCCCGGGUUUGACCCUGGGUGGCCCUCUCAACUGAAGGUACUAAUCAGCUGAGCUACUGCUUGGCAUAGCUUGGUUCUCAUUUGGUGGCUAUAUUCAUUUAGACUAAAACUAAUGUGGGACGAGGGAAGGCACAUGAACAUAAAUGUUGAUGGACUGAACUAGGCUACCAAUAUUUUAUGACAGCGAAAAACGUGUAACAACAUCCAAUAUUUCAGUUGCAGUUACAUGUAAUAAACUAGGCUAGAAAAGGAUAUAAUUUGUUGCUUGUACAUAAAAUCUUGAUCCGGGAAGGGUAAGACCAGAACGAGGUCUUGCCUGAGUGGAGGCCACCCUCGAAGGGAAUCAUUGUGCAUACACAUAAUUUGCACCUGUGCCUAAUAAAAUGAAUAAAAUCAAAUUUAUCAAAAAGAGGUAAGACUGUAUUCUGGACUAUAGGGUAAAGCAUACAAAACUGUUCAAUUUAGCUAAUUCUAUCCUCUUGUGGCACAUAUAUCCUCUUAGAAUUUCUUUGCCUCUUCUAUUUUUAAACUUGGAUGAAUAAUUAUUCGAAAGCGCGCAUCUCAGUGAGUGCUCCCUCCCAUAUCCUUGUGGAAGAUUGAAAAGUACACGAAUUCUAUCUGCGUCUAGAAAAAUAAUAUGUGCUCUUGCUGUCAGUUUACCAGGACUUGUGCUGUUUGCUGUAUAUCAAUGAGUUGGACGAAAUUCUGCGUCCAUGCUACAUGCAGUUAAGCUCGCUGUACACUUGAGGAAUGAACUAUCCAUUCCUCAGUAGUUUGUAUAGUAAGUUCAUGCCACCUGAUCCUGUGUGUUUCUUUUGCACAAGCACCCUGGAAGAGGAUUUGCAUAAAAGUACUCCUCAUGCCUUGCACUUCGACCAGACAGCCUCUGAUAUGGACCUCCAAGCCUGUUUUCAUGAUGCAUCUUCACUUCACUUUCAAACUCAUUCCAAUUUAUUGUACCUUCAUCAAGCUUGUCAAUCAUCUCGACAAGCUUCUGCCUACAGACAGUCGAAAAAUUCAGCACUUUGGAUUGAGAUCUAAAUACUGGAAACAACAUUCCAGAAAUUUACCUGUUGGGGUUAAUGGUUUUUCGGAAUCCUUCGUAUCUUCUAUGACCCUGGACUGCUUUAGCCAUAUUUCCAUCAUAUGUAUACACAAAAACGUCACUCUGGAGGGCUACAUUGUAAUCCACAGCAGCUAAUCUGUUUUGGUACAGCUUGAGAGACUCUAAUUCAUUUUCUGUUGCCAGACUAUAAUGUGUGUAGAAAUUUGGAUAUUCAGCCCUUAAUGCAUCCAUGCUAUGUACACCAUACAGUUCACCUGCUACAAUGUAGAUCUUCGUGCUGGAAGGAUAACCCAUAGCUUUUAGGAAAAGAGCUGCUUCGCGAGGAGUCAUAGGGCAGCCUCCUUGGAGUCGCCUCUCCUCACUGUUGAUUUCCUUCUCUUUCCAGUGCUGCACCUUGAGUCGCAUUUCCCUAAGUUCCUCUGCCUCUUGAUGUGUUAGGUUGUGGCUGCAGCCUGUAAACGAGAGCAUGUCCUUCUCGUACCUGUCAGUUUAUAAGGAAACCAAAAGUAUCACUGAUCUGCUAAUUCCUCUUGAGUCUUGAGCAAAAUGAUGCCAGCCUCAUAUUAGACAAUUGCAGUUUCAGUCACCUUAAGUGAAGUGCGAUAUAAUUGCUGGACCCAUUCCUCAGUCUAUCAACUAGAGUAUUACCUAGCUCUUCGAUUUCUUUCUUGUAUCUUAAUGCCUCGUAAUUUGCCCGGCAACGGAGUCGUUGGAUGGAAGGAGGGAGACCAUUGUUAACAAUCCGAGAAUCUGUAUGUGUGAAUUUCACAACUUUGGUCUUCUUCAGUGUCCUUGUGAAAGCUCUGUAAUAAGAAGCCUGCAAAAAGUAAGGAAGUAAGUUGCCUUUUCUUUUUCUGCCUGCUCAAAUUUCUUGAUCUGUAAGUAGUUGCUAUGUCCACUUAGCCUGAAGUAGUCGGUCCAUACCUUGGCCCAGGACUUGGGCGCUCUAAUAUAGGGUUUCAAUCUUUUGUAAGCUGGUGGCAAGGAAUCCACAAUCAUGAUGUCAUUUUCUAAAGUUUCCUUGAAGUGCUCAACGUCAAAUAUAUCUUUGAAAUCGCUGCAUGUCAAGACAAAACAUCAGUAAUCCCAAAAAUUCCUAUAGAAUGUUCGCUGUUUUGGUUGCAAAGAGAUGGACCUUGGAUCUGUCCAGAACGAUUUAUGAUCCAGAGUAGGGAUUACUAGGGUGGCGUUCAUGAGCUUAGCAACUGCAACCAUAUCGCUUAUCUGCAAGAAUGAUUUUGAAGAAAUGCAUGUAAGCUGAAAUUCCUAUGUUCAAGUUUUGUAAGAUAAUUGUAUACGUACUCCCAUUCUCAUCUGGUUCAGGCCACCAUUGGCGUCGACGAUUAUGUAACCAGCCGUUGCACUGUUGAUUCCUGAAAAAAGCAGAGCAAGUGUUACCCAAAUGUAAGCACUCAGUUGAGACUAGUUAAUUUUAACUCGAAGAUGGAAGAUUACUUAGAACUAAUGUUUAACUUGAAGGAAGAUGGGGAAGAUAAGCUUACUGUAACGGUUUUUUGGGCGUUCGAUACAUUUUGUGUAACCCUUGUUAUCCAGUUUCGUCCAUAUCUGGGUCAUCUGGUGGAUUUCAAAGCAAGUUUUCAGUACAAGCACUUCAUAAAUUCUACAACCAUGCACCGACAUGAAUGAAAUUCUGAAAUCAAUAAUAUAAAUUAGGAGCACCUGUAUCUAAUAAAUUCUUUCUGUUGCUUUAUUUGCAGGUCUAUGGUUGCUUUAGUUAGGCGGCAGAAAGGCAGGGUCCUUGCUUCAUAUUGUCCAAUCUGCAACAAACUCUUUUUUGCCCGUAGCACUACUAGGGUACUUCGUGGGGUAGGAUGGGUUGAUGCAAACUCUCACUUUAUGUCCAUUCAUUUUUAGCUCUUGUUUUCAUUCUCUCUUUAUUUCUUCUUUUUUGAAGACUCAUGUAGAAUUUUGGAGGUUUAAGGAUUAGGUAGCGUUAGGAAACACCAAAAUUUUGUCCACGCGCAGGAUUCUGAUCUUCUCUGGAUAUGUGUCUUGACUCUCCAAUGGCAACUUGUCUGUAGUCUCAUGAUGUAACUGUCAGCACUGUAGCUUGCCAGCUUGUUUAUCAUCUGGUUGUUCUGCCUAUGCAUGUACGAUUUUGAACAACUGUUUUACAAUAACUCGUGAUUUGUAAAACAACUUUGCAACCAGGAGGGCAAAAUCUCAAGUGGUGGUUGACUUAUUAAUCAAGUGGUCAAAAGCACCUGGUUGUAGCGAAGUUGUACAAAAAAAUUGUAUGUCAACUUGUCAAGUAUUUCCUUUCAGGAAAUAUGAACUUCUGUGGAACACAUAUCAAUAUUAUUUCACUUAAAAUUUGUAAUUCUGCUAUGUUUUUUUUUGGUGUGGCAGUGCACUUCCUUCAAUGCUUUUGAAACGAGCCAGCAGGGGAGUUCCCCUGCUUAUUCCACUUCACUGUGAAUUUUCGCAAUGUUCAAUUAGCUAUGUGCGCCCAUUUCUGGUUUUGAGAACAUCAACGUCAACCCCUUUGGAAGCGCCUUGCUAAGGGCCCAUAUCGAUGACAUUAAGUACAAGGCAUGGGUAUCGGUAUCACUCUCCCAAUUGAAUUCCCCCUCUGGACUGGUAACCAAAUAACAACACGAAAAAAGAAGAGAAUAAAUGGCGAUUUGCCAAAGAGUUGGCACUUAUUCUUCUGACAAGGACAUGUACGGAAGGCGGCCCUGAGUCCUUCCCGAAUUCUGGUGCUUCUGAAAUGUCUUCGGCAUCCCAGUCUGAAUGUCUGAUCCUACAGCAAAGAUCCAAAACACGGCAACUACGACGCGCCCGCCCGCCCGCCCGCCAUGAAACUUCUCUUGUUUCUCAAGCGCGCGCACACGCAUACCCCGCCAGACCCAGUCCACGAAGAGCAAACGAUCCAACGCGUCUCUUCCGCGUCCAACCGCCGACUCGGAUCCCGCUAACUCGACAGAUUCGAAUGGUUUCAAGUUCAUGAAAAAAAAGUUUUCAAAGUCCCCAGUUUUAACUGUAAUUAACAUGCUAAUUACUGGCAGGGUCUAGUCUAGUGCAUCAUGUGCAUGGCAAGAAGAGUAACUGAGCAGUCAACGGCGUGGUCGAGCACUCACCGGCGGGUCGGGCGGGCGGCGAGCGACGGCGGUCAGGUUCUCCUCCCUCCACCCGAGCACCUCGCCGUCGCCGGCGUCCACCCUCCGCACGAGCCUCCCCGCGCCGACGUCGCCCCGGCGAGAGCUCACGACGAGGACCAGGACGACGGCGGCGCCGAGCAGGCACGCCACCGCGUUCCUCACCCAGGCCCGGUCGACCGCCGGCACCCGCUUGCCGCUGCCGCCGCUCCUCCUCGCGAAGAGGAGCGCCUUCACGUGCCCGCGGCGCUCGGUCCCGCUGUCGCUGUCGUCGCUCGGGACGCCGCAGCAGUCGGCGGCCGCGUCGCGCUCCACGUCCGCCAGGCGGCGGCGGUGGGCGCCGGACGGGACGGGGCUGGAGCUGGAGGACGACGAGGAGGAGGAUGACGCCGGGGACGACGACGACGACGACGCGACCAUGGCUGAAGCAAGCGCAAGCGCGCGUGCACUCCUGGCUUCGUUUGGUUUGGAGUUUGGACACACCCAAGCGCGCGCAGGAGCUCGAUCGAUCACCUUGGCCGCUCCGGUCGGCAACCGCGCGGGAGUAAGGGGAACGUGGGGGCGAGGUGGGUGGUGGUUCGGAGUUUGCACGAGGAGUCGUGCGCGCGCGUGCGUGCGUGCCCUCCCUACCUUCCCCGCUGGCGGUUCGGCUCCGCCACGCGCUGCUGCCUGCCAGGUGCGCCGCGCGCGGGCGUGGAGAGGGUAGGGGAGCACGGAGCAAGCAAGUUUUAUUCUUCAGCUCGCUCUCGCGCCGGUGCCGUUGGCCCUCGGCUGUGCCAUGCCCCGACCCCGAUCACCCGAUGGCAGGCAGGCACCGCGCGGGCGGGCUCGCUUUCGUGGCCAUCGUCGUUUAUACGGCUCGCUUUCGCGGCUCUCUUUUACGGGCGUGACGGGCGACGGGUGCGGGCGCGGUGUGGUGCCGCCGUGGGAAGGAGGGCGAAAUCUUUAGGCGCGCUGCCCUACGUGUCCGAAUUCCUGAUGCCCCAGGUCCCAAGUGGAUAAAGGGUUGAGCUGAAUUGGCUGCGCUUGAUCAGAUUAAAGAUGAAGGUCUUUCAGAAAAAUAAAGAUUAACAGACGGAUCAGGUCAGGACUCGUGAAGCGACCAGCAGGUAGUGCACGCUACAGAUGAUCCGUGAAAGUAGCUUUUCCUUUUCUAGAUGCCGGAUGGGACUCCAGGGUGUUUGGAUAGGAGGUGCUAAACUUUUUAACAGUGUCACAUUCGAUGUUCGAUGCUAAUUAAGAGAACUAAACAUGAGCUAAUUAUAAAACUAAUUACAGAACCCCUAGGCUAAUUAAUUCGCGAGACGAAUCUAUUAAGCCUAAUUAAUUCAUCAUUAGCAAAUGGUUACUGUAGCACCACAUUGUCAAACCAAUAGAUUCGUCUCGCGAAUUAGACUUCAUCUGUGCAAUUAGUUUUGUAAUUAGUCUAUAUUUAAUACUUCUAAUUAGUAUCUAAACAUCCGAUGUGACAGAUGCUAAGCUUUAGCGGGUGUAUCAAACACCCCCUUAGCCUUUUCCGUUGCCAAUGCGUACAAAGAGAAUAUAGCACAAUGGACCGAAUGGUCCACAUGCGGAUCGAAGCUUCGCCGAGCAGAGCUAUCGCAUACGAUCAGUGCGUGCAACAAUCCUUAAUGCGUACUGCGAUUGCCGCCUUAACUUUAAUUUGCACCGGCAGUGGAGGUGGUCCUGCCGCCGUGCUAGUGCUAGCGUGCCUGAUCCCUUAGCUGAAAACACUGACCAUUUGGUAGGUAGGGACGCCCGUGUGUGCUAACCCAACGUAUUUAAAGUUGUGAACUGGUGAUGCGCUGCUGACCGAGUUUUCUCCCGCUUUGACGUAGUCCCGAAUAUUAAAAAUAGAACGGCCUUUUUUUUUCUGUAGUGCCGCGUCAACGGGUUGAUUCUCUCGGCACGCUUGAAAAGUCAGCUGGGCACUUAGCGCCGCCACGUCCUCGAGAGGCAGCCUACCGCGUGUAUUCGCGCGAGCUGCAGCCACACGGCGUCCCAAAGACCCUCGCCGCAUCUCGUUGUCAAACUUGGCUUUUUCUAAGGCGUGGCUAAUAAUUUAUUCCCCACACCUUAGACAUAGUAUGGUUUUAUAAAAAAAAAUUUAGAUCUGUGCCAAGAGAACAAUCAUGUCAAAAAUCAAAUAGCUAGCAUGCAGAAGAACUCUAUGACGUGGCAAUGUUUGGGUAGGAACCGGGAAUGCGUAAGAGUGAGCCGUGACAAGCUAAUCCUAUCGGCCCAUGAUGAUGCAUCUGACUCUGACCAAGCGUACGUAAUCCAGCCCGGUUCAGUGCCCGCGGCACCAGGGACAUGACCAGUGCACGCCGGUGGACGGUGGUGCACAUCGGAUGGGCGACACGAGGACGACGAGUCUCCACGGGCCGCGACGAUGAUGGCCAGUGCGAGGACCCAGCUGUUCUUGUCUGUUUGCAUCCGGUCAGGCCGAUGGAUGCGCGUGCAACGCAUCCCAAGUGGGAAUCCACCGAACGGAGACGGUGGUUGGCCGCCGCCCCCCUGCCGGGUCGGGUUCUAGUCUAAUCAAGUUGACGCGCACUACUUAGCCUAGUGUUUCGCUUGGUGCUCGGCAACGAACUUUGCUUAUCAAAUGGUGCCACGAGUGUGGGUUGAGCACUAAUUUCCUCUGCCCUGGUUCUUACAGCAAAUGGCUUUGUUUAGAUUGCAAUAUCUGAUUUGUUUGAGGUGACAUGUCAGGUCAACACGAGUAAUGUUGAAUAGUCACCUCAGAAGAGGCUUGCGUGACACGUGGAUGGCCGCUCGAAUUUGCGAUACGGUUGGAUAUGAUGGUGAUGCAUAUUCAGUAUAUUGGUAUCAGGUAUGGGUGCAAUGCAAUUUAUUGUGUGUGAAAUAAAUUGAGACGACGGCGCCCUUACUCUCGGCGCCAUGAGACACCGACGCGUUUAGAUUUAGGUACGCGCCAACGCGGCCGCCAGAUGGAGGAACAAGGAGCACUCCUUUUUUUGCGUCAACGUUGGUCUUGAUCGAGCCCGACUAGCGCGACAAGGGCAGGGUUCUCGCGUCGCGUCACCGUCUGUGACUAAGCGCCGGAAACCAGCGACCUAGUAAUUCUUCUGCUCCGGAGCUUACCGCAGGUCUGUCGCGCGGCACCAAACAACACAUGAACCCGUGACCCGGCCAGCCUCUGCCCAGUCCAUCAAGCGCCGGAACGUGCCUCUGACUGCUGGGUGGUGGCUGCUGGUGCUCCGCAACCGCAGCCUCCCGGCCACGGCCACGACGCGAAGCAAAGCAUCCGGGGCGGGAGCGGGACGAGGACGCGAGGCCUAGCAUGCCUCGCACGGAAGCCACUCGUUAGUCGUGACCUCGCCCUGCGCGGUCAGCGACGUAACCUUGCCCGAGGGUUACAAAGCCACACCACGACAUUGUUUAGAGACACGGGCGCGCGCGCGGGGGCACCGCAGCCCCGCGUGCCGGUGGCGUUCGGUCCCGCCCAACAACAGCAACAACAAGGCAACGACGCCAUCCGCAGAUUGGUCGGGGACCUAGGAGGACGAGCGUGCAGGAGUACAUCCACGCCACGGACUUGGGGAAUCCAGGACUUCGAUCUUGGGAAGCGUCAGCCUUCCGGGUUCAGGCGUACAGCUUCGGCCACCGCCACGGCCAACCGGCUGAUCCUCACGCGCACGCGUGACAUCCACCGCCACCGGGAUGGAUUUUCAGAUGAUCUCCAGCAGGAUACAUGUACUGUGCACGUGAUCGGUCGCGUGUUGCCGCCAACUGGGCGUGCCGCUGGAGUUUGGAGGCAAGCUGGUUGUUUGGAUCAGCCGGCGUCAGGACGUCUCAGCAAACCAUUGAUUGAGUGGAGGAACCGACGGUCACAGCCGCUGAUAUCGUAGCACUGACAAAUCGGAACAUCUUCGAAAUAAGUCAGGUCCUUUACCUAAUUACCUACAACAUUUGGCCUGCUGCUGCUACUAUAGUUCACAGAACAUUGCAGCUGCAAAGGCUACAAUAUGUAGGCUUACCACUACUGAGACAAGUGCCAGAAUUGUCUAGCGUUUGAAUCACAAGUUAACUCUCCAUUUUGGGUAGGAAGACUAUGAAGAGGGAAAAAACAGAGGCAUGAGUUAGCAAAACAUGACAAAAACUUCGGCCAAUUUACAGGAGUACCAAUUAUCAACAGAGCCUCUCUUUUUUCCCAAUGUCCUCAACAUCUACUAUAUUUUUUAAAUAAAAACUUCCGGCAGGAGUUCUGCUAGGUUUGUUUUAAUAGAGAAGAAGGGUUUACAAAAUUGGUGGCCUAAAGGUCAAAAAAGAGAAAAUAUCACAGCAAUGCUCGCUCACCGCCCAACCCUCUAAUCUCCUGGGAUGACCUCUAGUAGCCGUUUUGCUCCUGCAAGACCCCAUGUUCUUGCUUCUUCUUUGAUCUUCGCAAGGAGUGUUUCUGUGCAAGAUGUCAUCUUUGGAAAAUUCUCGCAUUACACUCUUUCCAAAUUUUCCAUGUGAACAUCCACUAAAGAUUCCCUAGAAGAAUCUGGCAAUAUGUGCUUCGGAUUUCUCCAGCAAUACUGGGAUAGUGAGAAUAUGACAGGGUAGACAAAAGUUCAAAAAGAUCAGCUAUACUGCUAUUGUUCUGUCCAUUCUAUUGGUAGGCACAAUAAACUAACAGAAGCAACCAUCCGAUUCAUAAAAAUGUUAAACCAAAUGGGUAGUCAUUCGCUCAGUUGUCUAAGUGCACAGUAAGGGAGAAAACUCACCACAGUAAGCCUCACAAGCAUAAAGCACCCACUGGAACAUACAUCGGACAGCUCCGGAAUGGAAAUGGCAGUAAAGUUACAAGUAUCUAUUUCUUGGACCAUUUUACAAGUAAUCUCACCAUAUUUAUUGAGAGCAGUGUCUAUGAUUAGCGAAGCUAGAGCAUGACAGGAAUCACCGGAUCGGUUAAUAUUGUUUGGCUUCGCUUCGCCUCACCUCUGAAAGGGCUUCAGUUGGAAGCUCAACAGCGAUCAAAAUAUAUGACAUACUACAGAACAAAAAAUUUGACCAAAACUUUACAAUCUGUACAAUGGUUAUUACUACUCCAAUAAUUGGUAGCUGGCAAGUAUUAGGAACAACUGCAAGUAUUCGGGCAUGAACAGCUCAUUUAACAACUAAGAGCCAUGCCCUCCAUCAAGUCAGGAUACAAACAACUUAAAGAUGUAACAGCGUGGACAAUUGAGACCUGUCAAUGUUUAAUACCCAAGCAGAACAGGAAAUAGCAUGUACACGGCUUGGAAUACUUACAACUAAUGCUAACCCAAAUUUAUCACGGUAAAAGGAGGGUAUGAAUAGUAUCCAAAUGUGACAUUAGUCAGUACUGUUGCACCUGCACCUGUCUGUCUGUGUAUACAGACAGUAUUAGAUAUCAACAACACGUAAGCUUAAUCGAGGAUUCAAUAGCGUUUCAGGUGCAGGAUGGAAAAUUUUCAAGAAAGGCAGGUGGUAAAAACAAUAAGCGAUCACAGAAGGUAGUGAUGAUAUCAGUAGCAGCUAGCUGGUCUGUGCCAAACAAUUAAAUAAGCUCAACAAGCUCACAAUAGACCUAUGGCUCCGUACAUGCACUGAUUAUCGAAUGUGAUACACUAACUAAUAAUUAAGUGUUGCUGUGGCACAUUCCUCACAAGGGUGGAAUCUGACUAUCAUAAUUUGUUAGGAAAACACAUAACAUAAUUUUACAAGGAAAAGUGUAUGGUCCCAACCUUAUAGAUUAUUUGAAUGCAACAUCCUCAGAACCUCUCUUUUCUCAUCCACUAUUUGUUCAUACUUCAUACUAGCUUGCCCUCUUACUCGUAUAACCUUUUUUCCUAGCUUGCUGAAGCAAUCUAAGUGGAAAUAUCAUGAUUAUCAACAUCACCAUUAAGAAACCCAUUGAUUCACCAGCUUUUCUUAAGUUUUUCUCUGAGUAAACCUGAAACCAAUGAGCUGAUAUAGCUGCUGCAAAUUAAUUAAGAGUAACACACAACUAGUAAAGUGACAGGAUGUAAGCAAACUAAAAGUAGAGUUUUCUCCUAAAAACAAAGCAAGUCACUGAAGUGUUAAGGUAACACGGACGCCUUGAAGUUACCAAAAAAUACUAUGGUAAGUAAAGUCAUUUGGGAGUGACCUCCAGAUUACAGUUAAGAAACAAGCAGGCAAGAAGCUCAAGGAACAGAAAAUCAAACAGUUAAAGGAUGGUCUACUGCAUGUGACUGGCACAGGGGCAAUUAAUUGAAUUUCAAGAUGCUCAGAAUCUAAUAUAUGAAGCUAUAGAUCUGUGAGGAAACUACGAACUGCCGAACUUAAUGUCUGUUCUGAAAGUGUACCGUGCGAAUUGUAAAAAUGUCUAAAAAACAGCUGAAACGCUAGUUACGCUAAUUUAUACCACAUCGUAGAGAUAUACACACAACAAAGAUACGUGUAGGCGUAUUGCGUAUCGUGUAUAGUACUUGUGUGCGUAGUAAAUAUGUUCAGAAAAAGGACGGGAGUCUAGUAGGAGGCAGCAUACUGGGCGUCGAAGCAGAAGACGGCCAGGCCGUGUGCCACGAGGUAGCGAGUGAGGAGCGCAACACCGCGGCGCUUGCGAGCACGAUGGUGCGGCACCCUAGGAUAUAACUCUGGUGGAGUCACCGCAAGCAGGGGAUCCACAGGUCGGUCGCGCGCAGAGGCGCCGCGGCCGUCCGCACCUGAGACUGAGAUCCCCAAGCGGCCGGAGGCGGAGGAGGUAAGGGGUAGAGCAUAGGCGGAGGAAAAGGGGGAAGACGGACGAUGGGGUUGAAGUGCGACACGCCGAUUCACUUGACCGCCGGGCGCUGGCUGCGGCUCUCUGGCAAGUCCAUGUCGCCGGCAGCGAAUGCGCAGAGAGCGAGGAGACCAGGAGAAAAGGAGGGACUAGUUCGAAAGAAAAACGUAUGAUUUAGAUCCGAUUAAGGGGGUUAUGUGUAAAUAUUUGGAUAGUGGAGAAUAAUAGCGAUCCGAUGAAGGGGUUUUGUGUAAAUAUUUGGAUCGCGGAGAAUAAUCGCGAUCCAAUAUAGGGGGUUUUGUGUAAAUAUUUGGAUCUCGGAGAAUAAUCGCGAUACAAUUUAGGGGGUUUUACGUAAAACUUUGGAUCGCGGUGAUUAAUUUGAAGCUUCUUUUUGUCUCGCGACCUUCCCCGCUCCGCUUCCGAUCACCGGCGGCCGCCACCCGACGUCGAAGGCACGCCCGAGGGAGCCGCCGUCGCUGUUCCUGAAGGAGAAACCGUUGGAAGAGAAUCUGUUUCAGGUAAUCACCUGUUCCGCCGGAGGACGCCAUCGUCGACAGGCGCAAAGCCCCCAAGGUCGCCACCGCCAUGGAUAAGUUUGCAUCGUUCAGCUCGGCACCUCGGCACUCUCGCGCCGUUGCCCACUCUCCGUGACGCCGCCGGCGCUGUCCCAUGUUCUUCGAAUCCAUGGAGGACAGGAUGGCGACAGAUUUCGUCUACCCUUCUCCGCCCCCUUUUCAUUAUCGCCGUUGACGAUCACCAAGACAGAAAGAAGCAGGGGCCAGGGGGUAUGGCGACAGGCCGCAUUUGUUUUGAGGACUCACAGUCCAUUGAUAGCAAGGAUGAAGUAAGCCGAUAGAUGUGGAUUUCAUUGAGAAUCUUCAGGCGCUGAAAGGUCCAAAUAUGGGUAAAGCCACCUGAAGAUGGUGGAAAUAGCACAAUUUCACCAAAGCUUAAAACUCUUGUAGACAGACCACGAUCGUGGUUGAUAUCACAAUUGUUUAGCCUCGAAAGACAGCCUAGUGUACACGGCAAAAUUUUGGAUAGGAAGAGAGCAAAAACAGAGUCGUGAGUUAACUCACAUGAUAAAGAUUUCGGUGAAUUACAGGGCCUCUCCUUUUCCCAGUGCCCUGUUCAACUCUUUGCAUGGUCGCUCGCAUGCCUGAACAUCCACUAAAGCGCCCUAGAAGAAUGUGGCAAUAUAGCUUCGAUUUCUCCAGCAAUGCUGGGAUGGUGAGAGCAAUAACGACACCUGGCAGACAAAAGUUCAACAAGAUCAGCUAUAUUGAUAUAUGUUUUAUCAUUUUAUUGGUACGCACAAUAAACUAACAGAAGCAACCAUCAGAUUCACAAAAAUGGUAAACCAAAUCGGUACAAUUCAGUUGUCUAAAUCCACAAUAAGGGAGAAAACUCAACAUGAUAAGCCUUACAAGCAUACCCACUGGAACGUUACAUUGGGGCAGCUCCAGAAUAGAAACAGCAGUACGUAUAAUUGCAAGUAACUAUUUCUUGGACCAAUUUACAAGUAAUCUUACCAUAUUUAUUGACAGCAGUGUCUAUGCUUAGAAAAAACAGCAUUUAGAGAAGCUAGAGCAUGGCAGGGACCGGAUAAUAAUUGUUUGGCUUAGCCUUACCUCUGAAAGGACUUCAGUUGGAAGCUCAACAGUGAUCAAAAUAUAUGACACUACAGCACAAACAAUUUGACUUGUAAACUUUACAAUCUGUACAAUGGUUAUUACCACUCAGAUAAUUGGUAUCUGGUAAGUAUUAGGAACAACUAAGAGCCAUGCCCUCCAUCAAGUUCGGAUACAAACAACUUAAAGAUGUAACAGUGUGGACAAUUAAGACCUGUUAAUGUUUAAUACCCAAGCAGAACAGGAAAUAGCAUGUGCACGGCUUGGAAUGUUUACAUACAAUGCUAACCCAAAUUUGUCACGGUAAAAAUAGGGCAUGAAUAGUACCCAAAUGUGACAUCGGUCAGUACUGUUGCACCUGCACCUAUCUGCAUACAGACAGUAUCUAUAUUAGCAGCACGUAAGCUUAAUCAAGGAUUCAAUAGCGUUUCAGGUGCAGGAAGGAAAAUUUUCAAGGCAGAUGGAACAAAAUAAAACGGCCACAGAAGGUAGUGAUAAUACUAGUAACAUAGAGCUGCAGUCCCAAGCAAUUAAAUAAGCUCAACAGUCAACAAGCUCACAAUAGGCCUAUGGCUCGGUACAUCCGUACGUGCACUGAUUAUCGAAUGUGAUGCAUUAACUAAUAAUUAAGUGUUGCUUUGGCACAUUCCUCACAAGGGUGGAAUCUGAAUAUCAUAAUUUGUUAGGAAAACACAUAACAUAAUUUACAAGGAAAAGUGUACAGUCGAAACCUGAUCAUUUGAAUGCAGCAUCCUCAGAACCUCCCUCCUUUUCUCAUUCACUGUUUGUUCAUACUUCAUACUAGCUUGCCCUCUCACUCGUAUAAUCUUUUUUCCUAGCUUGCUCCAGGAAUCGAAGUGGAAAUAUCAUGAUUAUCAACAUCACCAUUAAGAAAUUCAUGGAUUCACCAGCUUUUCUCAAGUUUUCUCUGAGUAAACCUGAAACCAAUGAGCUGAUAUAGCUGCUGCAAACUAAGAGUAACAGACAAAAGUAAUAAAGUGACAAGAUGUAAGAAAACUAAAAGUAAAGUUUUCUCCCAAAAACAAAGAAAAUCACUGAAGUGUUACGGUAAUAUGGAAGCAUUGAAGUUCCCGCAAAAUAUAUGGUAAGUACGGUCCACCAGAAAAAAACUCAUUUGGAAGUUAAGGGGAGGUUUGGUUCAUUAGAACCUUCUAAAAUUCCUGUCACAUCAAAUCAAAUGUUUAGAUACUAAUUAGGAGUAUUAAACAUAGACUAAUUACAAAACUAAUUGCACAGAUGGAGGCUAAUUUGUGAGAUGAAUCUAUUAAGCCUAAUUAGUUCAUGAUUUGACAAUGUGAUGCUACAAUAAACAUGUGCUAAUGAUGGAUUAAUUAGGCUUAAUAGAUUCAUCUUGCGAAUUAGCCUCCGUUUGUGCAAUUAAUUUUAUAAUUAGCUCAUAUUUAAUCCUCCUAAUGAGCCUCCGAAUAUUUGAUGUGACAUAAAUUUUAGUUCGGACUAAUGAUCCAAACACCCCUUGACUCCAUAUUAUAGUUAAGAAACAAGCAGCUCAAGCAACAGAAAAGCAAGCAGCUAACAGGAUGUGAACAAGGUCAACUGUAUGCGACUGACACAGGGGCAAUGAAUUGAAUUUCAAGAUGAUCUAAUAUAUGAAACUACGAACUGUAAUCUGGAGUUAACUACGAACUACGAGGAAACUAUGAGGAAACUACGAACUGCUGAACCAAAUGUCUGAUCUGAAACUGUACCGUGCGAAUUGUAGAAAUUCUAAAAAAUCGGAUGAGACUCUAGUUAUGCUAAUUUGUACCACAUUUUACAGAUACACACCCAACGAAGAUAUGUGUAUAGUCGUAUUGUGUGUCAGUGUAUGAUACUUGUGUGCGCAGUAAAUAUUCAGAAAAGUACGGGAGUUGAGUAGGAGGCAGCGUACUGGGUGUAGAAGCUCCAGACGGCCGGGGCGUGUGCGACGAGGUAGCCGGCGAGCGUGAUGGUGUGGUACCCGAGGAGACAGCUCAGGUGGAGGCACUGCAAGCAGGGGACCCACAGGUUGGUCGCGCGAAGAGGCGCUGCGGCCCUCCGCACCUGGGCUCCCCCAGCGGCCGGAGGUGGAGAAGAUAAAGAGGAAGAGCAUAGGCGGAGCAAAAGGAUUUGCCGAUCCACUUGACCACCGGCUGCGGUUCUCCGGCGAGUCCAUGUCGCCGCCGCCGCCGGCGGCAGCGGAGAGAGCGAGGAAACCAGGCGAAAAUGAGGGACUAGUUCGAAAGGAAAUGUAUCAUUUAGGGGGGUACGUAUAAAUAAUUGGAUAGCGGAGAAUAAUCGCGAUCCAAAUAAAGGGGGUAUUUUGUAAAUAUUUGGAUCGCGGAGAAUAAUCGCAUUCCGAUCUAGGGGGUUUUGUGUAAAUAAUCGGAUCGCGGAGAAUAAUCGCGAUCCGAUUUACGGGGUUUUAUGUACAAAAUUGGAUCGCUGUGAAUAACUACGAUCCAGUUGAGGGGACUAAUUUAGAAAGCUUCGGCUUCUUUGUCUCGCGACCUUCCCCGCUCCGCCUCCGAUCGCCGGCGGCCGCCGCCCGACGUCGACGGCACGCCCGAAGGAGCCGACGUCACUGUUCCUGAUGGAGGACCCUUUGGAGGAGAAUCCGUUUCAGGUAAUCACCUGUUCCGCCGGAGGACGCCAUCACGCCAUCGUCGACAGGAGCAAAGCCCCCGAGGUCGCCACCGCCCACCGCCAUCGAGAAGUAUGCAUCAUUCAGCACCUCGGCACUCUCGCGCCGCCCACCCUCUUACGCCGCCGGUGGCUCUCCCACGUUCUCCGAAUUCAUGGAGGAUAGGACCCGCGACAGAUUUCGUCUCCGCCCCCAUUCCAAAGAAGCAGGGGUACCUGCUGGAUAAAUUCGCAUAUGUUUUGAGGAUUCAGUCCAUCGAUUGCAAGGAUGAAGUAAGCCGACAGAUGUGGAUUUCAUUGAGAAGCUUCAGGCGAUGAAAGGUCCAGAAAUGGGUAAAAUCCCACCUGAAGAAGUUGGUAAAAAGAGCACAAUUUCACCAAAGCUAGAACUCUUGUGGUGUGCUGUGUGCAAUUCCAAGGCUACAGUAUAUAGACAGACCACGAUCUCGGUAGAUGUCGCAACUGUUUAGCCUCGAAAGACAGGCUAGUUUACAAGGCAAUUUUUUUUGUCUUGGAGAAUCUACAUCGCUAUCAACUCAAUUUCUUUUGCAAUAACCUGUUUGUCAUCUUACAUUUAUACUCUUCGCAUGCUCCCCCACAUGCCUGAACAUAUGCUGAAGCUAUCUCGAGAUAUCUGGCAAUAUGUUCUUCGGAUUUCUCCAGCAAUGCAGGGAUCGUGAGAGUAAUAACAGCACCUGAAAGAACACGGGUUCAACAAGGUCAGAAGUUCGGCUUUGAUGAGCAAGAUUAAUACAUCAAGUGUUUUCCCAUUCUAUAGGAUAUCCAUGCUUCCCAUUCUAUUCACAUUAGGUCGAGCGUAUCGGAUAUUGUCCCUAUGAACGAAGUAGACGAGAGUCAUCCUCUGUCAUGUUCAGUCAUCCUCUGUCAUGUUCUUGUGUAUACACUAGAAACCUCUUUCACUUGGACUCCAUUCAGCAGAACUAGUGUAGAACUUCAGUCGCUAUUUGCAAAUGUCAUAGUCCUAUGUACACAGUUAGAUCUGUUUGCAAAUUGAACAACUGCCACCAGCUAAAAGGAUUAUGUACUGGCCAAACAUGUACGAACUCGUUUCUACUUUCGACUAAACUAGUGCCAUAUGCAGCUAUUCUAUCUAAAAAUAGAAGUGAUAGUUUGAGCAUUGGCUCUGUUUCCAUGACUGUGUCAUGUAUCCCUGCCAUUAAUUACCCGCACACAGUUCGCCGUGCAAUUAUCAGUGAUUUGAUGAUAAACAUAGUUUACAACAUUUUCACAUUACAAUUCAAUUUGGGGUUCUUGUAAAGAUGCUCAGUGGUACUUAUAUCUUUAAAAUGUAAAUCGGUAAGGGAACUUACUUGCAUACACCAAAGUGAUAAGAUCAGUCAAUCGGCCAACUAUGGAAGUCAGCAGCAAAACAAAAGCCACCUUGUAGAAGAGGCUCGAGUCCUUCCCAAGUGCAAUGUUUCCAAAAUCCUGGAGCACCUUAUUCACGAAGUUACCCACUAUUUCUGCUGCUUCACUUGUUGACUUAUCAGAAAUUUCCAUCAACGGAACAGGAGGAAGUGCCCUGCAUGGAUUUCUUUUGCUUAGAGUCGGCACAUACAUUAACUACAGAACUAUUACCUAAUACCAAAAGUUAUUAUGCAGAUGAAUCGUUUCAUUAUUGGUCUGUUCCUUAUAUACUUUGAUUACAAGGGUCAUGCUAUUGCACGGUAAUGUAAAUUUUACUCACUCAAAAUGUAACUAAACAGUUCUACUUCUAGGUUUCUAGCACAUAGACAUCUGCAAAUGGCAUGCCCUUCUAUACCCCAGGAGGCCAGGACUAGACUCAAUCACCACUGCAGCAAUUUAGUAUCCAUAUCCAAAAUGCUAAAGCUGUCCAACCAGGGUCCAGGUCCAAGUCCAAGGCCAAUUAAAUUUCAUUAGCUUUAGCACACCACCAAGGCACCAAGUGACCAAGAGCAACAACCCCCUUGGUGCUUCAACAAUCUUUACCUGUUUGCAGUCAAUCCAAAUCUUGUGAAUGCUAUCUAGUAGUACAAAGUGAAAUUUAACAAUCUAUUUGUGGAGUACAAGUAAAUAGCAUCCACAAUAAUUGAAUCAACCACAGUAAUGCAUCAAUAGGUAUGAGGUGGAACGAGCAUCACCUGUUGAGCAGCUGUGCAGCCUUGGCCCAGACGAAGAGGACGGUGAGCAGGAUCAUGAGCACCUGGGACACGAAGGAGAGCAGCGUGUAGCCGGGCACGCAGUAGAAGAGCGCCCAUGACGCCACCACCGCGGCCAGCAACCCGCCGGCCACCUCCGUCCUCCUCCACAACACCACAUCCGCCACUGCACCCACAGGAAAAUUUCCAACGCCAAACGCUCUCAGUCUCAGGUCCCAGACGCGAAAUGCAACACAACAAUCAGAACGACCAACACGAUCUGCACUCCAGACCAUAGAAAAACACGAUCUGCCUGUAAAAACCUAGAGCGCAGCAAUUAAAUUGCAGAGCUCACCGGUGCCGCCGCCGAGGAGGUCGUGCAGCGAUCUCUGGGCGCCGAACAGCCGGCAGCUUCGGCCAGGGCAGUCCAUCGCAGCACGGAUCUCUCCCCCGACGGGAAAAGGGGAGGGGAGGACAGGACAGGCAAGAACUGCGAUGGAGUUGAUGAGCGGCAGCUACUGACUGAUCUCGUCUAGUCCAACUUCUCGAGCUGGAUUUCGGAAAAUUGCGAGGGGAGAAAAAUGGGUGGAAAGAAAAGGCGCAAGCGUGGCGAGGGACACCACACCAGAAGACACCCGUGGCAUCACCCCGUCAGCAACGCCGCCGUAUCUGGACCCCAAAGAAAAGAUGGAGAAAACUAGUAGAAAACGAUGGUGUCGUAUCCUUAGAUUUCGAGCAGAUGACAGCGGGCGGGCGGUGCAUCGAGGUGCCGCCAACCACCCGCCCCCACGCCUUUCGGCAGCUAGGCUGCGGUUUGGCAGCCUACAGAUGCCACAAAGCCAACGCUCGGUGAAAAAAAAAAACGCUCGCCUCGUCUUCGACCAUCAGGCAGAAGCAGCCAUAGCUUCCGAGAGAACAGAUAAAAAAACGAUGCAAGCUUAAGGUGUGGUUCAUCGUGACAAGUGAAUCAACAGCCUCGCCUGUUUCAAAUGAAAGAAAUAAGACUCUGCAGGAAACAAGAGUAACACCUGCACAAACACAUUCUUGAGUCGGUAAUUUCUGACUGCAACAAACAAAGCACACAAAUAACAACGGAAAUACGAGCAUUCAGGAUCAGAGUUGCAGCAGCUGCACGAGUUCCAGCAUAAGUUCACAUGAUAAAUGACGGAAAAAACAGGUUCAAAACCGCCACUUAGGUCUCUAUGCAGAUUCCACAUAACCGUUGCACCAGUUAAGUUUUUAAACCCAUGCAGUUCAGACUAUGCAAUUUGUAUACAACAUUCAGAAAUCAGAAAAACUUCUCCACUGGAAUGGAGGGCAGUUUAGACGCCUCCCUCUCUCUUGCUUUCUGUUUGUAUGCUCUAACUCAGUUACAGACUAACUGAAAAAUCUUCAUAGGGAGGCGUCCUCUCUAGUCUAACUCAUUCUAUUCUUCUUUUGGUGAUUCUUUAACCUCUAUAGAAGAAACCUCCCCUUUUGUGUCACUUCCUGAAGCUGGCUCCUGGGUGUCCUCACAGGGAGGAGCACUUGGUUCAGACUUAUCAACUUCUUCCUGGUUAUUAUCUUUGCUCGAAGAUGCUUCAAUAACAGGAGCAUCCUGCUGCUUGCUGUAUUCUUGAGCUGCAUCAUAGCUGGGAAAUGGACCCCCAGCAUCCAUCAAGCUAGCGGCUAUUGCAGCAUUCAGAUCAGCCUCUUCCUGCUGCGCUGCAAUCAUGUCCAUUUCACUCAUCCCUCCAGAUUGCUGGCCAAGUAAAGGGGAUUGCACCUGGUGAGUAGGUGGUGUCUGCACCUGGUUGCAGGAGGCUGUUAUCUUCUGGGCAUCAUCAGGGGUAAGCCACUGACCGAACCCAUUAGAACCUUCAGUUGCCAUAGGGCACUCCUUGGGGAAAUUGCCUCUAACUGCAAAGAUACUCCAGCCUGACCCCUUCAGGGUGUCAAUGAAAGCUGAGAGGUAGAACUUUGACAGGUGCUCAGGAGCUGGGUAAAGACUGUUAAAGUUGUACCACUCCCCAUUCACCUUCCUGAUGCAGAACCAGUGGUCCUGAAGGUGGCAAAUGAAAGCAACCUCCUGCUCAGGGUCAAAUAGGGAUGACCCUGCAGCUGGGGAAUCAAGGGGAAUAACUUGGAGGUCCCAAACCUCCAGGGCCUUCUGCAAAACCUAUUAGAAGAAAGCAUAAGGUCAGAAUAUGGUCAUGAGUGCGCAUUGCUAAAACAAGAACAGACCUAAAACUUGUAUUUUUCUAUUAACAUAAAGUUACAGUGCUAGAAUAAAGAAUAGCUAUAUAUUAAUCUAAUAAUCAGGCCACCGGUAUCAUGUCUGGCUACAUUAUAUUUAAUUGAACAAAUGAACAAUACACAUGGAAACAAAUAGAAGCAAUAGACUGCAUAACAGCAUUCCAGGUUCAUUGCAAGAAAAACAAUUGUUCAUAACAAAUGCGGUAUAAAGGCUGAGAAUAAACAAAGUGAAGAAUCACAAAUUCCAAUACUUAAACACAUAACUUGUGCCAUCUGUCCAAAUUCGGAUCUAGUGUGAACUCUCAAGUACCAUACAGGAACAUAGCGUGCAAUGGUAAACUAUUGUAGUUUAUCGGCCAAAGAUAAACUACAACUAUAAUGCAAAGAUGAAUAUAGUGUGCAGUGGAAGGGGAAAAGGCUAAUUGCUGCAUAUGUUAGGUGACCCUUCUCCAAUACAUCCUGAAGGAGAAAAGCUCAAAUAAUUGUAAUACCUCCAUAUUGUGAAGUAAUACCAGAACAGCACUGAAGCAUAUACACAGCAAACUACUGUCGUCAUAAAAAAAUGAUAAAUCAUGCACACAAAAUAAACGCGUAAAACAUCCGAAUAUCAGCAACAUGCAAAACAAAGGUCUGUUCACUAUUUGCUUAAAUUUCAGGAUUCAUCGUAUCCUGAGUGACAGGUAUGCGGUUUAUCUAGGGAACCAUCCUUUUCCCCUUCCAUGAUUAUUUGUUUCUAAUUGCAGUCACAGCAUAGCUCUUGCAGAGUAGGAUCGUAGCGAAGGCACUGGCCAUCAAAAGGUUAAUCAGCUUGUGCUAUUGGCUCAGCGAAAGCCUAAACCAACCUAUUCGACAAGUGCAAGCGUUACUGCCUUUACUAGUCAUAUUUGGCGUACAACAUAUUUCACUCCUUCAGUGUCAUUACACAAUUUGUAAUAUAUUUACUUGAAUCACUUAUACCCAUAUUUGGAUUUACAAUAGAUUCAAACCAAAAAUAUGUACGAGAUCUCAUAUAUCCCCAUCGAACAAAAAUAAUGGAUGCCAUUGUUACAUGGACACAGGUGUGGGUGCUGUACUGCUGUCCGACUCGGGUGCGGCUGUUGGUGUCAAACUCGGGUGAAAGUGUCAAAUUUGGCAAUUUUUGGGGGUGGGGUGGGGUGGGGGGGGGGGGCAUGCCAAAUACCCCUUGGAAUCUGACACGGGUGAGUGAUAUCCAACUCAGUGUGUCCGGAUAACAAUGAUGGCUGUACAAUCAUCUGGAAUUUAAUGACUUGUCACUAGUGAAACUCUUCAAAGUGCAUACGUCCAUCAAGUUUUCUUUCCAGAAUUGUUCGUAGAUCAGAUUAAAUUUAGAAGUAGCAUUUAAAACCUCAACGCUGCUAACCUUAAUACCGUUAUCAACUCCCUCGUAUUCCUAAUUAAAAAUUCAAUGACAAAACAUCGAAUACCUGAAUUAAAGAACAAUCACCGUCAAAGGUAAUAAAACUGGAGCUAUUCUUAGCGUCAGCAAUUCAGUACACGACAAAAGUCAAGCUACGGAAAAACUCUUGAAUAUGUACACCAAUCACAUAAAUUUGGACAGUAUAACGGAAGUAGAAGACGUUACUAUAGCAUGCAUGCACAUGCAUUCGUGAAGGCCGAGUACGUAAAAUAAAAUGGCACCAACUGUCGUGAAGACUUUUGCUAUCGCUGAUACAAGAUCAUGUUACUUCUUUGUUCCUAGUUGAUUAUUCAAAUGCAACGUGUGAUCUGUAACUUGCAAGAAAUGACUACAUCUAAACUUUUGUAGCAAUCCAAAACAAGUACAAUCCUAUAUCAAAUCGCCUGCAGGGAAUCAUGCAAAUCUCAGCGCGGUUCUAUGCUAGUUGAAGACAUAAGUACUGAUGGUCCCUCUGCACCCCCUUCUGCAUCCAUCAAAGCUCAAAUCAUGAUCAUAAACCCAAAGGCAUAACUAAGUAUCUUCACGGCUGGAAUAGGAUCAUAUCAUACAUGUUCAAGGAGAAAGUCUAUACAAUUCUGAGCAGACCUUACAUGGCACUACCACUAGCAACAACCCGAUUCAACAACAAGCAUUCCUUCAAAUAACUGGGAUGAUGCAUUGCCUAGACAAUUUUAUUUUCGUCCUAAACUAAACCCUGCUAAUCUCUCUACUUCAAGUAAUUCUCUUCCUUGUUAACAAAUCCAUCUUACUAAAGUAUAUAUCGGCACUUUUAACCUAGAAUCAUUUACUGGAAAGCAAUCCACGGGUUCCAAACAGCAAUGCCCAAGAAAAAAUCCCCUAAACUCUAAGCAGCUAUCUUAGCACACAAACAAACAAGUUGUGGCCGAGCCCACGGAACAAGCUGCGAUCUACGCAUCAGUCGAACUAACCGAGCCCACGAGAGACAAACGGAUUAAAUCUCAAAGAAUCGUGGAGGGCCUCGACUAACCUGGAUGCUGAAAUCGCCUCCGAGGGAGACGUUGUGGGAUCCCUCGGCGAGGAAGUCCCCCGCGGCAGCGUUGGCGACGCCGGGGCUCUGGGAGCCCUCGAGCAUGACCAGGCGCUCCCGCUGGUCGAGGUCGGCGGCGAGGGCGGCGAGGUCGAACUCGGAGAAGAAGGGCCCCUGCAGGGCGGUGUUGACGCAGUGCACGGCGCAGAGCUUCCCCUCCUGCACCUCGUGGUACAGCAGCCCGCCGUUGCUCGCAGCCUCCAUCACGCCGCUCCACAAGCCUCCUCCGGCGCGGCGAUUGUCGCCUCGCCACCUCAAGUAUCGCAGAUUCGGAAUCGGGGUCGAGGAGGAGGAGAAAAACGAAACUGCCGGGACGGGGGAAAGGAGAGGGAGGAACGCGAGGAGAGUUGAGUGCUUUCGGCGUGGGUCGGCUCGGGCUCGGUGGUAACGCAGGUUCCCCUGCUGAAAACCAUAGACAGCCGCGACACGUAGGCGCGACCUGGAAAGGCCGCGCCCGGCAACCACGUGGAUUUUCUAAUUAUUCGAUUGCGACUAUCGACUUGCCGGCUUGCCGCUUUGCGGUACAGUUUGAGCGGAAUAAAUAUAUAAUCACGCCGCUAAUACUUUAAGAAUUUCAUUUUAGUUUGCUCGUUGUUGAAUCUGUAUCUCGUAUAUACAUAUAAGAAAUUUAUUUUUGGUCAUUGUUGAAUUUGUACGUGGGAGAGGCCAUGCCUUAAGAAUAGAUAAAUUGAGAAGCUUAUAGAUGAUAAAGGAUGUGUAUCCAUGCUCCGAAAUUGAGAAGGUUAUAAAGAAUUUUGUUUUUGGUCAUUGUUUUUAUGAGUGUGUGCGCUCCAAUUGGGGUGAAUUUGGGUCCGUCGUCCCUACAUGAUAGGAUGUGUAUCCAUAUGCUUCGAAAUAUUUAUCAUUAUUUUUUAUUGCAAUGUUUGACUAUUUAUUUUAUUCGAAAAAAAUUAAGUAGGUACUCCUUUGUCACAUUAGAUUUCUCCUAAGUCAAAUAUGUCCAACUUUGACUAAGUUUAUUGAAAAAUACAACAACAAUUAUAAUACCAAACAUAUGCACUAUCAGAAUAUAUUCCAUUGUGGAUUUAAUGAAAUAAGUUUGGUAUUGUAGAUGUUGUUGGAUUUUUCAUCAAAGUGGCACAAGUUUGACUUAGGAUAAAUCUAAUGUGACCAGGGGGAGUAUAGUUUAAUUUGUUUGUGACUUGAUCAUGAUGGAUACUUUAAGCAUAACUUAUUUUUCCAUAAUUUACAAUAAUUUUUUAACAAGAUGAAUGAUCAAAAGUUAUUGGUGCUAAUAUUUAUACGGUGGAAAUACCAUCUGCACAUUGAGAACUUCUAGUUGGCUCAAAAAAUAUUAGGCCAUUGCAUAUCCCAUUGAUGUAGAGGCUAGUUAGCUACUAUGAGAUCGAUUGAUCCUAAGAAAGUUUGAAUGGCCUUCAAAUGAUAAUACCAUAGUACAAAUUAAACUGCAAAAACAUUUUUUUCAAAUUAACAUAGUUCUAUAUGAAAUGAUGCCACAGACAGGAGUGGAUCCAGCAUGGGGCUGGGGGCCUGGAGCGCCCUACAAAUUUUAGCCAUAGAUCAAGUGGAGGAACAAGAAAAAGUACAAAUUUUAGCCAUAGAUCAAGUGGAGGAAGAAGAAAAAGAAAGAGGAAGAAGAAAAGGAGGAGGAAGAAGUAGAGAAAAGGAGGAAGGAGGAAAAGGAAGGGGAAGAUGAGUUCCUUUCACAGCCUGGAUCCAAAUUCACUCUAAAACAAAUAUUAACAUUGUAGGAAACCUUAAAAGAAUGCAUUUAAGCUAAUAGAGCUAACAUAUUAAUUUAUAGAACGUUAAAGAGUUUAGCAAGUCUAUCAAGUAUGUUCACUGAACUAAAAUCCUAGUGGUAACGGGGACUUCAGGCUUAGAGCUAGCUGACACAUGGUAUGGAGAUUGGGGAAACAAAACAUUAGGUGUUUUUAACAAUUGUUGCUUAUCUAAAAGGAUUAUAGCCAAGAUUUAGAAAGAAAAAAAAAAGAGAAACGAUUGCUUGCUUCCUGUCCAGCAACUGGCUCCUGAUACUUUCAAGAACGUAUCUGAUCUAGGAAUUUGAAGUGCUGGCCUUAACUAGGAUAUUAGUAUGUGAUACACAAGCAACAAGAUGUAAACACAUGUCGACCAAGAUUUUCAAAACCAGACAUACUUGCAUCAAAGUAAAGUGUGUGGAACACAAGUACAGAAUUUGGGAUCCCAUGAUGCAGCCAUGCAGGGCACUCCAGAUCAGGCAUGAAGCAAAUGGCAGCAUACACUUGUAACAAAACAAGAAACUAAUUAACAUGUUGGACUCCGAGUGUGAGGGCAAUUAAAUCAUGUGUUUUACCUACUUUUGCUUUCUUAGAAUGUUCUGAAUGAAUAAGCAUGUAUACAGCAUGUGGCUACCCCUAUGGUACUACAUUUCCGCGCUGCAAAAAGGGAAGCUAUACCCUAAUUGUACAAUUGUGGCGUUCGUGUAAGAACAUGUAGCAUAUCUUCCUUCUCCAACCAAGUAAAUAUCUUGUACCAGUAUUCCAUCACAACGGACAGCUCCACUGCAAAUAAAACUGACGGCAACUUUUGAAGCACUUGUUCCAUGGAUGUUUCUAUAGCGUAUAUCACGUACGGCAACAGCUGACUCCUACAAGGUACAAAGAAGGGAACGUCCCAUGAUUGCUGGUUUAAUUUUCUAAAGGUCUUGUAUGAAGCAGCAAAGGAAUUUGGAUCAUCAUAGAGGACAGUACCUGCUCAUCACAUCGUUUCUUAGAGUCACAGUAAUUCUGAUCGAUAAUUAUAGGGUUAGUAACAUUAUUCAUUGAUAUAUCUUGAAAAGUUAUCCUCUCAGCAUAGCCAUGUCCUCCCUGGUAAUUAAACCGUAAGAAACAUCAUCAAAAUAAAAAAAUAUGUAGCACAACUAAACAAAUAAUUACUUUACUUUGUAAAUAUAUGAAGAUGGCCUACUUUAUUAUUCUAGUAAAAUAUAUUAUCCUCUACCAUAAUACAAUAUUUUUUAAUUGAAAUACACACACAUGCAUAAUGUUCUUUUAGGACUAUAUGCAUAUUACUUAGUACUAUUAAGAACAACCAUUUCUUCAAAAUAUAUCAAUAUAUUUAAAGUCAGAGCUUCGAGACAACUUUCGCAGAUGUUCAAUCUUGCGAGGCGUAUGAGCAAGAUUUUGAGUACUCUCCCGACCUGUUAGAGGCCACCCUAAUAAGCAGAGAUUGCCGGGAAAACGUUGCUCAACAAGAAGAUCUCAGUAACCAACUCGAAAAAGGAUACCCUCGAUAACAAAACAACCAAUCAUAACCUAGCGAUAAAAUGCCAGCACGGGAAACACCUACCUCCUAUCUAGUUACUACUUUCGAGUUAAGAGCGGGAAAACGGUUUUCAUGGCCUAUAGUCCCCUGCCGCCGAAGCACGAACUACUUUAAAUCGCGGAUCGGCAGCUUCCUGCGACAUUCCUUCAAUGCAAAUGUGGUAUUUUUAUACCCUUUGAUAGAUAGCAAGCAGCUCCUAUAACUUGAUCGACAGGACCCAACCAACUAAACUAUUGAUUUUGGCAAAGCUAGACCUUUUGAGGAAAGCAGAUGCAGAUAACGAAAGGAAGCUAUUAGUUUUUCUUAUACUCGACUCAGGGCUAAAAUCUGUCAAAUUUUAUAAUAUUGUGGAUAUUAUUCAGCAAUGUUGCAAGUGUUUUAUCCUCCCAUGUUUCAUAUGACUGGAACAUUUAAGUAUUAUGCAACAUGCGAGAAUAAUGUUUGGAACGCCAUAAAAUAGCAUCUG